rnacentral:rRNA from 1 species
AGGGUUUGAUUAUGGCUCAGGAUGAACGCUGGCGGCGUGCUUAACACAUGCAAGUCGAACGAACCUUCGGGUUAGUGGCGGACGGGUGAGUAACGCGUGAGAAUCUGCCCUCAGGAGGGGGACAACAGCUGGAAACGGCUGCUAAUACCCCAUAUGCCGCGAGGUGAAAUGAAUUUCGCCUGAGGAUGAGCUCGCGUCUGAUUAGCUAGUUGGUGUAGGUAAUGGCUCACCAAGGCAUCGAUCAGUAGCUGGUCUGAGAGGAUGAUCAGCCACACUGGGACUGAGACACGGCCCAGACUCCUACGGGAGGCAGCAGUGGGGAAUUUUCCGCAAUGGGCGAAAGCCUGACGGAGCAACGCCGCGUGAGGGAUGAAGGCCUCUGGGCUGUAAACCUCUUUUAUCAAGGAAGAAGAUCUGACGGUACUUGAUGAAUAAGCCACGGCUAAUUCCGUGCCAGCAGCCGCGGUAAUACGGGAGUGGCAAGCGUUAUCCGGAAUUAUUGGGCGUAAAGCGUCCGCAGGCGGCCCUUCAAGUCUGCUGUUAAAAAGUGGAGCUUAACUCCAUCAUGGCAGUGGAAACUGUUGGGCUUGAGUGUGGUAGGGGCAGAGGGAUUCCCGGUGUAGCGGUGAAAUGCGUAGAUAUCGGGAAGAACACCAGUGGCGAAGGCGCUCUGCUGGGCCAUCACUGACGCUCAUGGACGAAAGCCAGGGGAGCGAAAGGGAUUAGAUACCCCUGUAGUCCUGGCCGUAAACGAUGAACACUAGGUGUCGGGGGAAUCGACCCCCUCGGUGUCGUAGCCAACGCGUUAAGUGUUCCGCCUGGGGAGUACGCACGCAAGUGUGAAACUCAAAGGAAUUGACGGGGGCCCGCACAAGCGGUGGAGUAUGUGGUUUAAUUCGAUGCAACGCGAAGAACCUUACCAGGGUUUGACAUCCUGCGAAUCUCUUGGAAACAGGAGAGUGCCUUCGGGAACGCAGUGACAGGUGGUGCAUGGCUGUCGUCAGCUCGUGUCGUGAGAUGUUGGGUUAAGUCCCGCAACGAGCGCAACCCACGUCUUUAGUUGCCAGCAUUUAGUUGGGCACUCUAGAGAGACUGCCGGUGAUAAACCGGAGGAAGGUGUGGAUGACGUCAAGUCAUCAUGCCCCUUACAUCCUGGGCUACACACGUACUACAAUGCUACGGACAAAGGGCAGCAAGUUCGCGAGGACAAGCAAAUCCCAUAAACCGUGGCUCAGUUCAGAUCGUAGGCUGCAACUCGCCUACGUGAAGGCGGAAUCGCUAGUAAUCGCAGGUCAGCAUACUGCGGUGAAUACGUUCCCGGGCCUUGUACACACCGCCCGUCACACCAUGGAAGUUGGCCACGCCCGAAGCCGUUACUCCAACCCUUGUGGAGGAGGACGUCGAAGGUGGGGCUGAUGACUGGGGUGAAGUCGUAACAAGGUAGCC